rnacentral:lncRNA from 1 species
GUAAAGUCACUAUUAAGAAUAGAUGAUCUAAGUCUUAUAAUAUAACCUAUUACAGUCUUAUCAACAUAUUCCACUUUCUCACAUCAUAGUUACUUACCCAUGCAUACAUCAUAAAUACCUUCGAAAUUCCAUGUACCAAUGUGUCUAUACUUAUAACUUAUUUGCUAUUUUAACCCUUUCCAUUCACAGCCUAUAAGGGAUUCAUAUAACAAUCAUCACCAUCCACUCUAGGC